rnacentral:rRNA from 1 species
AUGAACGCUGACAGAAUGCUUAACACAUGCCAGUCUUUGGCGAAGCUGUGCUUGCACAGCCUAGCCAAGGCGGACGGGUGAGUAACGCGUAAGGAACUUGCCCUGCAGUCAGGGAUAACAGACGGAAACGACUGAUAAGACCUGGUAAAGUCAGGCGGACUCAUGUCCAGCCUGAUGAAAAGAGAUGCUGCAGGAGAGCCUUGCGUCCUAUUAGCUUGUUGGUGGGGUAACGGCCCACCAAGGCGAUGAUAGGUAGCCGGCCUGAGAGGGUGGACGGCCACAAGGGGACUGAGAUACGGCCCUUACUCCUACGGGAGGCAGCAGUGGGGAAUAUUGGACAAUGGGGGCAACCCUGAUCCAGCAAUUCUGUGUGCACGAUGAAGGUUUUCGGAUUGUAAAGUGCUUUCAGCAGGGAAGAAAAAAUGACGGUACCUGCAGAAGAAGCGGCGGCUAAAUACGUG